UACGUAGGGACCAAGCGUUGUUCGGAUUUACUGGGCGUAAAGGGCGCGUAGGCGGCAAUUCAAGUCAUCUGUGAAAUCUCCGGGCUUAACUCGGAACGGUCAGAUGAUACUGCUUUGCUAGAGUGCGGAAGGGGCAAUCGGAAUUCUCGGUGUAGCGGUGAAAUGCGUAGAGAUGUGGAGGAACACCAGUGGCGAAGGCGACUCUUUGGCCUGUAACUGACGCUGAGGCGCGAAAGCGUGGGGAGCAAACAGG
rnacentral:rRNA from 1 species